rnacentral:rRNA from 1 species
GAUGAACGCUAGCGAUAGGCUUAACACAUGCAAGUCGAGGGGCAGCAUGGUCUUAGCUUGCUAAGACUGAUGGCGACCGGCGCACGGGUGCGUAACGCGUAUGCAACUUGCCUCACAGAGGGGGAUAACCCGUCGAAAGACGGACUAAUACCGCGUACACUUGGGAUAGGGCAUCCUACCCCAAGGAAAUGAAUUUCGCUGUGAGAUAGGCAUGCGUCCCAUUAGCUAGUUGGUGAGGUAACGGCCCACCAAGGCGACGAUGGGUAGGGGAACUGAGAGGUUGAACCCCCACACUGGUACUGAGACACGGACCAGACUCCUACGGGAGGCAGCAGUGAGGAAUAUUGGUCAAUGGGCGAGAGCCUGAACCAGCCAAGUCGCGUGAAGGAUGACUGUCUUAUGGAUUGUAAACUUCUUUUAUACGGGAAUAACAAGAGCCACGAGUGGCUCCCUGCAUGUACCGUAUGAAUAAGCAUCGGCUAACUCCGUGC